UUCAUGAACAAGAAAGGUUCAUGAGCAUUUAAAUGUUCAUGAACAACAAUGAUCAUGAACCCUUUCUUGUUCAUGAA
rnacentral:sRNA from 1 species